rnacentral:rRNA from 1 species
UACAGAGGGGGCAAGCGUUAUUCGGAAUUACUGGGCGUAAAGGGCCAGUAGGCGGCCAACUAAGUCGGAUGUGAAAUCCCCAGGCUCAACUUGGGAACUGCAUCCGAUACUGGAUGGCUUGAAUUCGGGAGAGGGAUGCAGAAUUCCAGGUGUAGCGGUGAAAUGCGUAGAUAUCUGGAGGAAUACCGGUGGCGAAGGCGGCAUCCUGGACCGACAUUGACGCUGAACGGCGAAAGCUAGGGGAGCAAACGGG